rnacentral:lncRNA from 1 species
UGUAUCCAUGUUUUGAUACAAUAAUUUUUUGGUUAUUUUUUAUGAAUGUACCCAUGUUUACACACACACACACAAUAGUAUAUUUAUAUUUUAAUAUUUUUAAUCCCACAAAUUAUGGUUUUUUAUUUAAAAUCUCAUUACUAUAAAUGACACACCCCGUCCCGAAGGAGGGCAUGCUGGCCGUCACGUGAGAGUGACGUAACCAUUUGCACAGUACGGAAGCUUUAAGAUACAAUUUAUAAGUUGAUACACCCGAAGGUGAGUCCUAAUUUUGUCCAAUCUGUCAGAACACCGUCGAAUUCCUCGUAGUCACCACACCUUUGUGAUUCCUGAACCUGGAGGGGCGCAAAACCAAAAUUGAGUGGGUCAGUAAAACAAUUCUUUUCCAAAUCCAAACAUUUCUCAAAACGUUGUAACCCCUCUCCGUAAAACCUGUAUACUUUCCCAGAAAUGUAAAAUAUAAAUAUACAUAUAUAUUCUCAAAACUUCAUUUUUACUAUCUCAACAUUAUCUCUUUAUCAAUCAUGCCAUGCCAUGUCAUCUCAACAUUUCUCAUAUUAAUUAUGCCAUGCCACAUCAUCUCAACAGUAAUAAGGUAUGAAUGCAUCAACAUAAUCAUAUCAGGUGCAAGAAAGUAAUCAACCGUAGGCCCUCUAAUAGCCCUAUACGGUUGAACCUAGAGCUCAAAAUCUAUCAUUAUCACUCUACCGGAGUCACCUCUGUGACCCGUCCGGCCUUCUGCACACAAGUUACGCUCUAGUGCUUCUCAUAAAUCAUCUGUGCACAUAAUCUAAGGUCACCCACCAGUCGGAAUCUCACUAACACUCUCGCGACUGGUCUGUCGUACCCACUCCGCGUGGACUGUACGACUAGCAUCUACUUGGAUCCAAGGCGAGCGUGCGAUGCGGUGAAUACUAUAAGCACUAAACCAUGGUGCAGGAUUUGAGCUCAAUAUAUAUCAUCAUCAUCAUAACAGUAAUUAAAUACUCAUCUGUGCGUCCACCGCACCAUUUCAUACAUAUGCAUCAUAAAUCAAUUCUUACCUGUGCGUCCACCGCACCAAUUCAUACAUAUGCAUCAUAAAUCAAUUCUUACCUGUGCGUCCACCGCACCAAUUCAUACAUAUGCAUCAUAAAUCAAUUCUUACAUGUGCGUCCACCGCACCAAUUCAUACAUAUGCAUCAUAUAUUAAUUCAUGCAUGGCAUUUCAACUCACAUUUCUAUAUACUUUUCAUAUCAAUUCUAUGCAUGGUAUUUCACUUCCCGUUUUUCCACAUAACUCAUAUGCAUUUCAUUUUAAACAUAUUUUCAUUUCAAUUCAAUUUCUGGGAAACGUCAAGUAUAUAUAUAUACGGAAAACAAAACUGCCCACUCACCUGGAGUUCGUCCAACAACUCCCUAGCACCACACAUCAAGGCGUCAUGACGAUCGCCGCCUAGAAUAGUAAUCAAAUCCAGGCUCAGAAUUCAUAUCGAUAGAAUAACAUAACUUAUAUAAAAUACGUCACUACGUUGAUCGAUCCGGAAGAUCUGCCACUCAGAUUUUAAAAUCCAUAACUUCCAGAGGUCCACACUAUACCUCUAGGACAACAUCCUAAAAUUUCAUUACCAUCCAACGGUCGGAUCUCCGUCAAUUUCCAAAACUAAGUGACGGUUAACAUUUUAUAUUAUGGACUUACAAUUCCAAUUCCGGAAGAUCCGUAACUCGGAUUCCCAAUCCGUAAGUUCCAAUAAUCCUCAAAUAUUACGUAUUACAACGUAUCAAAUUUUGGUGACGAUCCAACGGUCGGAUCAUCAAUUCACAUUUUCACCUAAAUGUGAAAACUAUAAAACGUUAUUUGAACACCUAACCAACAAUCCUCAAUAACUUUCUCAUACGGUGUUCAAUUUAGGUAUAUGAAUAUACCACAGUGAUCUAAUCGACGUCACGGACGUCGACAUAUUUUUAAAAUAAUUUUAUUUUUAUUUUUUAUUUUUACUGUAGCACCUUCUUCUUCCUUGGGUCGCCGGACUGGUUUUUUCCGGCGGCCGUUUUUCCGGGCAGUUUUUCAAAUUGCCAUAACUUUGUCAUUUCUCAACGAAAUCAAGUGAUUCAAAAACGAAAGUUGUAGCCCUUGAAGAGACAAAGAGAAUGGUACCUUGAAAAACACCUAGUUCGCCGUGGUUUGGCCGGAAACUGCCUCGAAAGCCUCGGAGGUCGCCGGAAACUGGGUAUUUUUCAAAUGAGUAUAACUUCUUCAAUACUCAACGAAAUUGAGUGAAACAAAAAGGAAAGUUGUAUUACUUGACGAGACGAAGAGAUUGAUACCUACCUCGACUCCUAAAUCGCCGGGGAUUCGCCGGAAAACGCCUCGAAAGCUCCGGCCAAACUUUGAACUUGUCGAUCUCCGUGUUCUUACGUCCAAAAACUUCCAACGAAGCACUCUGAGCUUCCUUGGGACCUUACUAAACUCGCUGUGAUCUUGUUUUAGCCUAAAACGUAACCAAUUCAAAGCUCAUGAACAGUGUCAUCUCACGGCAACUUUAGAACUAGGGUUUUCGAAGUGAAACUCACCUGAAAUUGGUAUCCCCGUGCUCGUGAAGUCCCCAGGAUCACGAUGGUGGUCUUAAAUGGAACGUUGGUACAAGAUUGUGGUGGUUCUUGGUGGUUGCCGUGAGUUCGAGAGUAAGAGAGAGAAUGAGAGAGUUUUCAGAAAAGAAUAAGAGAGAGAG